CAGAAUUGAGCAGGAGGAAGUGGAGGUGAGCAGGUUUGUGCAGGAGGAAAAGGAGGUGAGCAGGCUUGAGCAUGAGGAAGUGGAGGUGAGCAGGCUUGAGCAGGAGGAAGUGGAGGUGAGCAGGUGUUCAGCAGGAGGAAUAAGAGGGGAGCAGGAGGAAGUGGAGGUAAGCAAGCUUGAGCAGGGGGAAAUGGAGAUGAGCAGGUUUGAGCAGGAGGAACAGGAGGUGAGUUGGAGGAAGUAAAGGUGAGCAGGGUUGAGCAGGAGGAGGGCGGUGAGAGCGAGGAGGUGAGCAGG